UACAGAGGUCCCAAGCGUUGUUCGGAUUCAUUGGGCGUAAAGGGUGCGUAGGCGGCGCGGUAAGUCGGGUGUGAAAUCUCGGAGCUUAACUCCGAAACUGCAUUCGAUACUGCCGUGCUUGAGGACUGGAGAGGAGACUGGAAUUUACGGUGUAGCGGUGAAAUGCGUAGAUAUCAGGAGGAACACCGGUGGCGAAGGCGGGUCUCUGGGCCGUAACUGACGCUGAGGAGCGAAAGCAUGGGGAGCGAACAGG
rnacentral:rRNA from 1 species